UGGGGAAUAUUGGACAAUGGGCGCAAGCCUGAUCCAGCCAUGCCGCGUGAGUGAUGAAGGCCCUAGGGUUGUAAAGCUCUUUCACCGGUGAAGAUAAUGACGGUAACCGGAGAAGAAGCCCCGGCUAACUUCGUGCCAGCAGCCGCGGUAAUACGAAGGGGGCUUGCGUUGUUCGGAUUUACUGGGCGUAAAGCGCACGUAGGCGGACUUUUAAGUCAGGGGUGAAAUCCCGGGGCUCAACCCCGGAACUGCCUUUGAUACUGGAAGUCUUGAGUAUGGUAGGGGAGAGGGGAAUUCCGAGUGUAGAAGUGAAAUUCGUAGAUAUUCGGAGGAACACCAGUGGCGAAGGCGGCUCACUGGACCAUUACUGACGCUGAGGUGCGAAAGCGUGGGGAGCAAACAGG
rnacentral:rRNA from 1 species